ACGUAAGUAUAAUUAUUGUUGAGCAGCCUGUAGCGGUAGAAGGAAGGAGAAAGCUCCUGAAGGGAGGCAUUUAUCGCGUAUAAACGAUCAUCGGUGGUGUAAUUUACCUGCUGUACGAAGUUGUAUAUACGAAGAUAUAUUACAGGUGUACGUCGACUUUAAAUGACUAAUUAUGUAAUUUACUAUUAAAAGACGAUUUAAAACACGUGUCCUGCGGCUUUUAACCAUUUAGAAAAAAGGUCGUCUUAUUAGAUAGUGUGUGAGGUGUUUGUUCGCGUGGUGCAUUUUACGCAUUUUUUCCCAGAAUUGUAUCAGGUGUGGAUUGUAAUACGAAUUAUACAAAUUGGUAGUUUUGGACGAAUUUUAUUUUUUUUGUGGUUAUUUUUGCGCGUGGAAAUUCAAAGUAUGGGCUUGUGUGAAUGUGGAUUUGUUGUAGAUGUUGAGAAAUGGGCUCAAAGUGUUCGUAAUUUGUCACUCGAGAUGGAAAUAAAAGUAAGUGUGAAUGAUAAUUCACCCUCUUGCUUGAAGAAAUUGUCAAUCAAAAUAUCUGAAAAUGAUUUUGAUUACAGACAAAAGUUGUAAAUUACGGAAUUUUGAAAAUUUAGUCAAUUCUUGAAAUGAUUCAGAAUCGUCUAAAUUUUUAAAGGAAAAUUGAAAGUCGAAAUUCGAUGGUAACAAAUUUGUUGCUAUGAAUGAAUUUUAAAAAAUUAUCUUACCUAUUUUCACUUUUCUUAGAUAAUUUGCAGUUCAGAGAUUUUAGAACUUUGCAACAUCAAUGGACUGAUAUUUUUAAAGAGAGAAUAGUUUCCAUAAGGUUCCUCUACCCCUUCUUUCAGUAAAGUGCGAGUACCAAAAAUUAUUUUGAGAAAUUGAAAAGUUUUCCAUCCCACUCUUCUUUUUUUACUGAAUUUUUUUUCAAUACGAGUGAGAGAUACGUUUAGAAUAAUUAUUUCAGCUCUUCUUCCUGAAAUGAAUCGUCACAUUUUCAAAAUCAGCUGUUCCGCAGAUUCUUUUAAUUUUUUUAGCUGGUGUGUAUAUUUCUCAGAAUAAUUUACUCGGAUAUAAGAAGUUCAUCUUACCGAAAUAUUCACGAGAGUAUGUGCGUAUACCUAUCAAACGUUACGUCGUUACGUGUUUGUUUUGUUUUGUUUUUUUUUUCUAUAAAUUAUGACAGUGAGAAUAUGCAAAUUGAAAUGAUCUUCAGAAAGAAAAUGAAAAAUUACCAAACUUGUGGUGCUUUAUUUUCGUUUUAAACUGAUGGCGAGUUACCUAAACAUGACAAAAUUUGAGAGAUUCAAAAAAUUGCUCGUAUAAAAAUGAAUAAAUAUUAGGUAAUCGGUUCGUUAGAAUACCCAAAGAAGAUUACAAAGGAUCUAUUUAGAUUCUUCCAGUUGAAAAAAAAAACUUGCCUUUUUGAUGGUUUUUUCGACAAAUAUAACAAAUGAUCCAUUUUGUCUCCAUUCUACUUGCUUUGUUAUAUGGUUUAACAUACGAUACGAUGCAAAGAGCCGUGGCAGGGAGAGGGGUAGCACCUGAAAUGGUCGCGUGUACACGAACUUUAAUACGACUACGACUGCGACUCCCUCAAGGUGUAUUCUGCAGCGUAUUAUAGUAUAAAGAGUACGAAUAUACGAACGAUACGUGCUCGUAGUUUCGAAAAGAAAAACGUCCCCAGAAUGGACGAUUUAUACGCAGCCAAAGGGUCUGCUGACGGGUUGACACGAAAGAGAAAGCUUCUACGUGACUGGAAUUGAAUCCCUGUUGUACAAAGGGUGCUGCUGAACUUACCUCGUGUGCGAGACUGCUGCAGAAAUCAGCUGAUGCGGUACGAGUCGAAGCAGUGUUGUUUUUUUUCUCGUUUGGGGGCGAACAAAUCAUUGUAUUUGUAUAGUUACGGAUAAUUUUGCAUUUUUUAAUAGUACAUAAUUUGGAAAACUUUGUGAGUAGUUUGAGUAAUUUUGAACCAUUUCUUUGUUUUCGUCAGAUUUUCUGCUCUUCUGAAUGUUUUCAUGAAUGAUCGAUUUGAUUAUCAUAAAUGUGAUAAAUGUUUGUUUGUGUACAAAUAAUUACCUAUAAUUUUAUGCUUCUUUUCUUCAUUGGAUAUUUUUAAAUAACAUACAUUACUUACUUUGUUAAUGUACGUAUCUAAGUUGCUUCUUCUCUUCGACCGAUAUUUUUAAAUAACAACUUUGUUGAUGUAUCUACAUACUAGUGAAUCGGUAAUAUCAUUUUGCGGCGAGGAUUUUCGAUAUCUGUUCAGCUGUUUUUCUCUUCUUGCUUUUUCUAGCACAAACGCUGAUUCAUCCUGCUAAAAAAAUCUCAUCAAAGAGGAAUACUUUUUCCAAAUUGGAAAAAAGUAGUCUGCCUAUGAGGAUAUUUUAGCUCUAUUUUCCUUCUUCUUGUAGGUUUUUUGCUACAAAAGAAAUACAUAUUAUCUGAAAUAUUUUUAGGGCUAUACUAAUUCACAUAAAUAUUUUGAAAACAAAAGCAAUAAUUCUUCAUCUCGAAAUAAGGUAUUUUUGGGGGCCUUAACUGAGCGAAUAUUUUUUCAGAUUUUUGAGAAGGUUCGAGUACCGUACAUUUUUGGCACAUUUUUUCUGGAAAUAUUCCUAAAUAAUUACUUACCUUCCCUACCUUGCUUGGUUUCUUUUUAGUUUCUGUAAACAUUGCUUGCGGAAUGCUUGAAAACAUAUUACGAGUAUGUUUUGAUAUCUUACUCAUUGCAUUAAAAAAAAUAGAAUUUUGACAUUAUCGCUCGCCCUACCUUUCAUGGAGAAACCCCGUUCUACAUUUUUCAUGAAAGGAUUAAUUACCGAAUACCUACUUAAAUUAUUAUAGUUCAGUGAUCCAAACGUACAAGACGUGUUUUUUUGAGUUGUGCACAAUUUUGUUGGGAUACCAACAAUUUUGAUUAUUUUGGGAUACUCUUAAUAUUUUUUAAUUUCGAGUCACCAUCUAAUAGAUGAGUUUAAAGUACAUAUAAGCCCGCAAAAGUCACAUCAACUGAACCAUCCACUAAUGUAUAUUACAAAUUUCAGCCCACCAGGAUAAUUUGGAGAGGUAGGGACGUGACACAAAGAUUUUUCAAUGUCAAAAACACGAUAAAACCGCUUUUUUUCUUCUAAAUAAUUGUUCUGGCCCACUGAUUUUUACGUACAGGUGCGUAAUUUGUAAGUGACAUCUACAAUUUUUGUAUUUUUAUUUCUCUAUCAAUUGACUGUUUCUUUUUCUAUCAACAUACGUCAAUUUAGAGUCAAGGUCGCUCCUUAGAGCUCUAAAAUUCAACUCAAAACCAAAACUAAGUACCUAAUUGGAGCGAAUUUCAUAGCAUUGUCUCCGUCUGAAACGUUAUUUUAGUUCAAUAAACCAAUAAAAAUUAAACAAAAAACGAACAAAAAGACAAAAAUUUGAAAAUGUAUUAAUACUUACUUCAUUUUUGAAUUUAUAAAGUCUUGUCCCAUAUUUUUUCAAUCUUGUAGUGAUAUAAAAAAUUUCACCAAUGAAUUGUCUUUCUUCGUUUUACGUAGAAAUCUAUAGAUGAGACGACUCAAAUACUUUUUUUUUUCAAACACCCCAAUCGAAUUGAGUUUAACUUUUCGUACGAAAAUUGCUGAAAUUAAUUCUUCGAACUUUUGCUAGAAUGCUUUAGAUGUAACAAAAAAAGAAAUUACUUACUGUACGAGAUAUUAAGUAUGUAGGUAUUAUUAAGGUAGUUAUGGUUUUAAUUGGUAUUUGGUAUGUGCGAUAAGUAGCCUAACUAUUAAUAAUCAAAUUAAAGUAUAAUCCUUAUUCAACACACUCAAGUUGCAACCCAAUAAUGAACACGACAUGAUUAAUUGGCACUAAAUUCUUCCUUGACGAAAAUUUUUAACGAAUGUAAAAUAUCGUUUCGGCUACGAAGAAUAAUAGAUAAUUAAUUGAUAAACAAAAUAGGAUUCUAAACCGUAUAAUUAAAGCACAACUUGAAAAAAUCUAUGGUAGCCAAAAAACUGAACUCGAGUGAAUGCUGAUCAUUGUAGAGAACAAAGUGGGAGAACAAGCUAUAAGUUGAGAAAAAAUUUGGGUGGAUGGUGGAAAUGAAGAGAAGAUAAGGAAGAGGUUGCGGCUGGGGAAAAAGGUACGAGUAGGUACAAUAUGAAUAGGAUUUACAAAGAAUGCUCCAGAUGUUCAAAAAAUAAAUUAUAAAAAAAAGAAAUUACUUGCUGCGAGAUACAUAAACUGUAUGAAUUUUCUGAAUCGUCGUUCUUUUGGAAAAUGUGGUAGUAAAACAACUUGACUCGUGUGAAUGCUGAGCGAGGUGCGAUCAUUGCAGAGAAAAAAGUGGGAGAACAAGCUGUAAGUUGAGAAAAAAUUUCGGUAGAUGGUGGAAAUGAAAAGAAGAUAAGUGGAUGAGGCUGGGAAAAAAGGUACGAGUAGGUACAACGUGAAUAGGAUUUUUUAAAAAAUGCUCCAGAUGUACCUACAAAAAAAGAAAUUACUUACUGUACGAGAUGCAUAUUUUAAGUAGGUAUCAAUAUAGUUGGAUUAUCCAGCUUGUUUUUUUCAGUCCCUAUCCUUUGUUGGUUGUUUACUUUCGUUGUGAAUUGACUAUAACAUUGUUUCUGAAAUCGAUCCAAUCAACUCGAAUUAUGAGGAGAUUUUAGCUCUAUUUUCCUUCUUAGAAGGUUUUGUACUACAAAAGAAAUAUCUGAAAUAUUUUCAGGGCUAUACAAAUUCGCAUAAAUAUUUUGAAAACAAAAGCAAUUCUUUAUCUCGAAAUUAGGUAUUUUUGGGGGCCUUAACUGAGCGUAUAUUUUUUCAGGUUUUUGAAAAGGUUUGAGUACCAUACAUUUUUGGUAGAUAUAUUUUUUCUCGAAAGUCGAAAUAUACAUAAAUAAUUCCCUACCUUAACAAAAAACGAAAAAUAUUUGUAAGUAAACGUCUUUGCCCAUUCCAAUCUUGUGGUGAUGUGAAACAUUUCACCAAUGAGUUGUCAAAGUUAACAAAUAACGGGAACGAAAUGCUGUAUUUUGGGGUAUUAAAUUUGUAUUUUAUGAGCUUAAAAUUGAAGGAGAUAGAUUUGAGAAAAUUUUUAGGUUAAGUAUAAAAUUUCUUUUCAAAAUAUCUACUCGGUCUUUUGUUUACGUUUGCAUUUUGUAAUUUUGUUUUACGUAGAAAUCUACAGAUAAUCAAUCAUUUUGAUAAAAUCCUCGACCAUUCGAGAAUGAGACGACUCAAAAUAAGUUUUUUUUUUCAAACACCACAAUCGAAUUGAGUUCAACUUUUCGUACGAAAAUUGCUGAAAUUAAUUCUUCGAAAUUCUGCAAGAAUGCUCCAGAUGUACAAAAAAAGAAAUCACUUAUUGUACGAGAUACAUUUAUUAAGUAGGUGUUUAAGAAAUCUUACUUGGUAUGUGCGAUAAAUAGCUUAACUAUUAAUAAUCAAAUUAAAGUAUAAUCCUUAUUCAACAUACUCGCCUUCAAAACACUGAAGUUGCGACGCAAUAAUGAACACGACACGAUUAAUUGGCAUGAAAUUCUGCUUUGACGAAAAUUUUCAACGAAUGUAAAAUAUCGUUUCGGCUUCGAAAAAUAAUAAGUAGAUAAUUAAUUGAUGAACAAAAUAAGCUUCUAAACCGUAUAAAUUUAAGCACAACUUAGAGAAAAUCUAUGGUAGCCAAACAACUGAACUCGUGUGAAUGCUGAGCGAGAUGCGAUCAUUUGAGAGAACAAAGUGGGAGAACAAGCUGUAAGUUGAGAAAAAAUUUCGGUGGAUGGUGGAAAUGAAGAGAAGAUAAGGUAGUGGUUGCGGCUGAUGAAAAAGGUACGAGUAGGUACAAUGUGAAUAGGAUUUACAAAGAAUGCUCCAGAUGUACAAAAAAAGAAAUUACUUACUGUACGAGAUACAAAAAACACGUAAAAUUUCACCAACGUUUGACUGAAAAACAUAUUUUUUUACGAUGCAAACGUCAAGUAUAUUAAGUAGGUAUCAGUAGUUGGAAUAUCCAGCAUGUUUUUUUUUAGUCCCUAUCCUUUGUUAAUUGUUUACUUUCGUUGUGAAUUGACUAUAAAGUUGUUUCUGAAAUCGACCCAAUCAACUCGCGAUGUCACCAAUAGAAAUCGAAAAUCAACGAACGAAAACGAACUGGUUGUAAAAUGGUGAAAAGUUUUGAUAAGCAGAAGCACACGAUGAUUAAUUUUCAUGAAGAGAAGCUGCUCAAGAUUUAUUGCCUGAAAACGCAUUCUAUAUUUUACUUUUCUCAGUCACCAUAGGUAUGUAAUCCGCAAAUCCGGUAUAUAAAUUGGAGAUAUCCGCUGGAGAAAGAGAAAAAAUACCAGGGACGAUGAAUUAUGAUACAAUGAUCUUGGAGAACCCUCGCCAAAUCCGCAAAGGAUGAAAAUAAAUGCUGUAGGGAGAGAAUUAUAAAAAAAAACUGCGAGCUAAUUAACUCCCCUAAUCCUACAUCUUGGGCUUUCGUGGCCAUAAAUUCAAACAGAAUGAAUUAUGGAAGGAAAUAAGGGGAGGUUUAUUAUUACCACUCAAUUGAGUUUACCUACUAGAAAAAAAAGAAAUGAAUUUUUAUAAUAAAGUAAAAUGAUGUAAGUAUUAAUACCUUCCUUGAAAAAUAUGAUACUUGUACUGGAGAAAAAACUGGUUCGUUGUAGAAUGAAUUUUCAUUCAGUGCGAUGAUGCUUUGCACGAAUAAUGAGAGAAUUGAGUAAAAAUAUUUCAUAUAAGUAACAAGUUCAUCUUGCCAAAAAUUGCGGUUUCUUCUUUCUUUGCUGAGAAAGACAAAAUUGCGGAGUAGCUUGAAUAAAAUUGAAUCUAAAAUGUCAAGGCGCCACUUUAUCAAAAUAUUAUACGUCUUAUUUUUGAAAUCAUGUUUUGAGAAUCUUACAAAUAUAAUAAAAUACCUCUUAUUGUUUAGGUAUGCAUUUGUUUCUACGUAACCCGCAAGUUCUCGUGUAUAGAAAAUAAAUCCGCGAUAAUCUAUCACAAAGGAGGGAGUUGGGAUGAAAGGGCACCCGUAUUUUCUAAAGCUCGGCUAUCCCGAGAGAAAAUCUUACCCACCACGAUGUCCUUUACAAGGCCAUCGUUACCUUCCUCUCCGCUCCCGUGGUAUCUUUAUGGUUUGCAUCACACUUCUCUUUUCAUCCUGCGCUUGUUUCUAUCUAUAUGUAUCCACACUCAGAUGAAAGUACCAUUCCUGUACGUUGACUUUUCCUUUGUAUUAGUACGUCUACGUAUAUUUAUGAGAUAGAAGGUAAUGGUGCACGAAGCGGGAGAAGAGCAGUACCUGCUGACGCGUUAAUAAUUUCGGAAAAGGUGGCGAUGGCAAUGAAUUAACGGUAGCGCUAGGAUUUCGUUGCUGGUCGUGAAAUUGUCGAACAGCGAAGAACCCUAGGUGGGUGAAUUUUCCGUGUAAGUGUGCGAAAUGGUGGAGGAAAAGGAGUGAGAAUACAAUAAACGUGUAAUAAAGUUUCGUUUUUGAUAUACCGAUGGAGGGUGAAGGUGAGUAAUAAAGUGUUGUUUUCUUCUCGCCAAUGUCAUCCGUGUGCGCGUACGAGUUACUAUAGGGCAUUUAAAAGUGACGUCACACCCGUCUGAUAAUCGAAGUGGUGUGCAAACGAUGCGAAAUGUACUAGUAAACAGCGAGCACAAUACGAUUCUCCAUUCAGUACUGUAUAUUAUUCGACUUGGUUUACACACCAGUUCGUUAUCACGUGACUCGGAUGACGUAGUUUGAAAUGCCCUAUAGAGGUGAAGGAAGAGGGUACAGUGCGGGAGUUGAAACAAUGAACGUGUAAUGUUGCGUUAUUCUCACAGUAAUUGGAUGAUUUUUUUUUUGGUAAAAUAUUGAUACUCGUUGCUUCGAAGGAUUCAGAUUAGCGAUUAGUGUCAUUUUUUUGCUAAUGCUGAAUGUUUGAAUUUGGUUAAUUUCUAAUCUUAAAAAAAUCACAAUUGGAUUAAAUUGACAUAAUGGGCUGAAAUUUGGAUUGUACCAUGUGAGACACUUUUAAAAAAUACUUGGUGCCGAUUUGAAUACAAAAUGUUUCAAAUUUUCAAUCUUUUCCCAAAAAAUUACGCUGGAAAAAAUUUUUAGAUAUGGAACGGUGCAAAAAGAUUUUGAAAAUGCGUCCCCAAGAGGGUCACAAAGAUUUUAAAUCGGUGUUUAUAUGCACUGAUUUUCUUUCGUUCCACUUUUACAGGGGUACAUUUCCCCGUACCCCACCCACCAUUUUGGGAGAGUAUCUGAAAACCACCCAGUAGGAUAGUACUGUAUCAUGCACGCAUCUCCAACGUUAUAGUGCAUACCGCCUUCACCCUUUUCUUUUAAAAAAAAACUUGCAGGGGGUUCGUGGAAACGUGGUCCCCCUCCCGAUUCAAAGAUUCAAAGAAGGGGGUUUGAUUUCGUAUCGAUUUCAUGUACUCGUAAGUUGAAUUUUCAAUUUUAUCUAUUGAAAAUCGUCAUUAAAAAGUUUGCGAUUUUUUACCAACUGUAUCGAAAACGAGCUUUCAAAAAUACCGAUCGAAAAGCUGUGUCAAAAAACUUACGUUUUCUUUCGAUUUGAUACAAGUUGAACUUACAACAACAUCGAAUUAUAAAAAUACUUAUACAUUUAUACGUUUUUAGCUAUUUUUUUCGAUUUUUCAAAUUGGCAAAAAUAAUUUUAAAAAAUGGUACCACUGCAUUCCAAAAUAUAACCUCCGUUCCAGGAAUAGUAUUUUUCAAUAAAUCAACAAUCAGCAUGGCGUAGUGAAAAUAAACGAUUACUUUCUCUGCUGUUAACUAAUUGACUUGAACAAUAAAGUAAAAUUGUCGUUGUACUUCUGUAUGUAAGAAUCAUUGACUUGCGCUUUCGUUGUCUUCUGUUCCAAAUUCAAUUUGAUUGAACUUUUUCGUUACAAAUACAAAGUAGUAAAUGAUGGGUAAUCUUAAAUUAAAUAGAUAUUGAGUAGGUACUUUUUAACAACAAACUGAACAAAAAUCAAUUAGUUCACAAUAAAUUUAAAUUUAAAUAAGAUUUUUGAAAAACUUAUCUCAAGUUAUCAGAAUACCUCAAGAGCAUUUUUAAACUAACACGCGAGUAACGUUUUACUUCGAAAACCACUUACUUAUGCCGUGCUUUCGCUGUAUUUGUUUUUUAUGCAAUUUUCAAGUCGUUAUUCUGAGUGAAAUAGAACAAAUGUGCGGUUUUCAUAAACAUUAGAUGGGCAGUGCUCAGCUCAAUGAACAAAAUACCACCGAGAAAAAAAAAAUAAAGAAUUUCUGUUAUAAUUUUUUUUCGCCCUAAACUUUUAAUUUUUCACCCCUUACAAUUUGAAAAAAACUAGAUAAAAUAAUUUACUUACGUACCUAUUCGCCUCGAAUCUUAGAAUUACCAAAUUGCCAAAAAUAAUAUUCUAUCAAGACGGUUUAAUAAACGUGUUAUCACUAAUAAUAUUUUUUUUAAAAAACACUUGAAGAUAUGUAAACAUUACAAUUACCUAACCAUUUGGAGGUUCUCUAGGUUCCCAUGUUGGGGAAACAAAUUGCUUUGAAGAGUGUAAUAGGGUACCCUGCCCAAGUGCCCAACUGACCAAAUCAUAUAGAGAAGUUGAGCCUUACAAAAAACAUCAUUUUGGAAAAUGAAAGUUUUGAAAAAGCUCAAAUCCUUAAUUUCCAACAAAACAAAUGAAUAUAAACUCGGAAUUUUUCAAAAAUAAUUCAACAACAUGAGUAAAAAACAUUAGUCAGAAGCACUUUUUGAAAAUAUUUUUAAAAAAUUGAUAAGAAAAAAAUCGUAAUAAUGAUGGUAAAAAUGGUUAUUAGGCAGUUCCCAAGUUGAUCAAAAAUAAAAACGGUAAAAGAAAUGCUUUUGACCAAAAAAUGAAAAAAAAACAAUGUUUUUUAAA